UUAUAUGUAACUUAAGUCAAAGUGUAAGAUUCUUACUCUUAUUAUGUAAAAUAAAAUACCAUAUAAA
rnacentral:tRNA from 1 species